UACGGAGGGUGCAAGCGUUAUCCGGAUUCACUGGGUUUAAAGGGUGCGUAGGUGGGCAGGUAAGUCAGUGGUGAAAUCUCCGGGCUUAACCCGGAAACUGCCAUUGAUACUAUUUGUCUUGAAUACUGUGGAGGUCAGCGGAAUAUGUCAUGUAGCGGUGAAAUGCUUAGAUAUGACAUAGAACACCAAUUGCGAAGGCAGCUGGCUGCACAAAUAUUGACACUGAGGCACGAAAGCGUGGGGAUCAAACAGG
rnacentral:rRNA from 1 species